GAAUGCUUCAACAAUCAAUUGCUUCGACUGAUGCUAUUUGAGUUGUGUUGUGUGGUAUCAUCUAUUAAAAAAAUAACGAGUACUUCAACUUCUCCUUCUAUUUAAACCCCAUUCCCUCCUCCCUUUCUCCUCAGGAAAUCCAUAUCGUACCAAAGAUUUCCUAUCCAUUCUCUCUUAGAUCGAUCCUUUCUCCUUUAUAACUUCAAGUGCUUCACUUCUUUUUAUUGAUUAACUGUCUGGGUAUUUCUUAAACAUGGCAACAAUCUUUCAGAAUGGCCACCAGAAUGGUUCUUUGGAAACUUUGUGCGCAACUCGUGACCCACUGAGUUGGGGUCUGGCUGCUGAGUCAAUGAAUGGCAGCCAUUUAGAUGAAGUUAAAAGAAUGGUGGCUGAGUUUAGGAAGCCUUUGGUCAAGUUAGGCGGCGAAACCUUGACCGUAGCUCAGGUGGCAGCUAUUGCCAGCAGUCGUGAAUCUGAUGUGAAGGUGGAGCUUGCAGAAUCUGCUAGAGCUGGUGUUAAGGCAAGCAGUGACUGGGUCAUGGAUAGUAUGAACAAGGGAACUGAUAGCUAUGGUGUCACCACUGGAUUUGGGGCUACUUCCCAUAGAAGAACCAAGCAAGGUGGUGCUUUACAGAGGGAGCUCAUUAGAUUCUUGAAUGCUGGGAUUUUUGGCAAUAACACAGAAUCAUGUCACACUUUGUCACACUCUGCAACAAGAGCAGCUAUGCUAGUGAGGAUCAACACUCUCCUCCAAGGUUACUCAGGCAUUAGAUUUGAAAUCUUGGAAGCCAUCACCAAGCUCCUCAACCACAACAUUACUCCAUGCUUGCCGCUCCGAGGCACAAUCACUGCUUCAGGGGAUUUAGUUCCAUUGUCAUACAUUGCUGGAUUACUCACUGGCCGGCCUAAUUCCAAGGCUGUUGGCCCCAAUGGGGAAUCCUUAGAUGCCCAGCAAGCCUUUCGCUUUGCUGGUAUUGACUCUGGCUUCUUUGAGUUGCAGCCUAAAGAAGGCCUUGCUCUGGUUAAUGGCACUGCAGUUGGUUCUGGCUUGGCUUCUAUGGUUCUUUUUGAGGCAAAUGUUCUUGCUGUUUUAUCAGAAGUUUUAUCAGCAAUUUUCGCAGAGGUUAUGAAUGGAAAACCUGAAUUUACUGAUCACUUGACACAUAAAUUAAAGCAUCAUCCAGGGCAAAUAGAGGCUGCAGCUAUAAUGGAGCACAUUUUAGAUGGUAGCUCUUAUAUUAAAGCAGCUAAGAAGUUGCAUGAAAUGGAUCCCUUACAGAAACCAAAGCAAGAUCGAUAUGCUCUCAGGACUUCACCACAAUGGCUAGGUCCUCAGAUUGAAGUUAUCAGAUUCUCAACUAAAUCAAUCGAAAGAGAGAUUAAUUCAGUGAAUGACAACCCUUUGAUUGAUGUUUCUAGGAACAAGGCCUUACAUGGUGGAAAUUUCCAAGGGACCCCGAUUGGAGUCUCAAUGGACAAUGCACGUUUGGCUAUUGCAUCAAUAGGGAAGCUCAUGUUUGCUCAAUUCAGUGAGCUUGUAAAUGACUUCUACAACAAUGGGUUGCCAUCAAAUCUCACGGCUGGUAGGAAUCCAAGCUUGGAUUAUGGCUUUAAGGGUGCUGAAAUAGCAAUGGCUUCUUACUGUUCUGAGCUCCAAUAUCUUGCAAAUCCAGUAACUAGCCAUGUACAAAGUGCAGAGCAGCACAAUCAAGAUGUGAACUCAUUGGGGCUAAUCUCUUCAAGAAAGACAGAAGAAGCCGUAGAUAUCUUGAAGCUCAUGUCCACAACUUUCUUAGUAGCACUUUGCCAAGCUAUUGACUUGAGACAUUUGGAGGAGAAUCUGAAGCACGCAGUCAAAAACACUGUAAGCCAAGUAGCUAAAAGGGUUCUAACUACGGGUGCUACUGGAGAACUUCACCCAUCAAGGUUCUGCGAGAAGGACAUGCUCAAAGUUGUGGAUUGUGAGCAAGUCUUUUCCUAUAUAGAUGACCCCUGCAGUGCUACCUAUCCAUUGAUGCAAAAACUAAGGCAAGUUCUCGUGGACCAUGCUUUGGCAAAUGGUGAGAAUGAGAAGAAUGCCAGCACUUCAGUCUUCCAAAAGAUUGAAGCUUUCGAGGAAGAACUGAAAGCCCAUUUGCCUAAACAAGUUGAGAGUGCAAGAGAGGCGCACGAGAGUGGGAAUCCAGCAGUUGCCAACAAGAUCAAAGAAUGCAGGUCUUACCCAUUGUACAAGUUUGUGAGGGAGGAGUUAGGAACUGGGUUGCUCACUGGUGAGAAGGUCCGGUCACCUGGAGAGGAAUUUGAUAAGGUUUUCACCGCCAUGUGCCAGGGAAAGAUCAUUGAUCCAAUGCUAGAUUGUCUCAAGGAAUGGAAUGGUGCCCCUCUUCCAAUCUGUUAAGCUGUAACUUUUUGUUCUGUUUACAUUUCAAGAUUUGUUUUCCAAUCCCUUUUUAUGUACCUAUAGUUACAGUUUGUGAUAUAAAAACAAAAAUCUGUAAUGCAUUUCUUUCAAUGUUCAGUACUUCUCUUCCUACUUUUGUUGUGGAAUUGAAGGCAAAAUAUUGGUAGUAAUUGCCAAUCAAACUGCAAG
rnacentral:misc_RNA from 1 species